UACAGAGGGGGCAAGCGUUGUUCGGAAUUACUGGGCGUAAAGGGCGCGUAGGUGGCCUUCUAAGUUGAACGUGAGAUCCCUGGGCUCAACCCAGGAACUGCGUCCAAGACUGGGAGGCUUGAAUCCGGGAGAGGGAUGCGGAAUUCCAGGUGUAGCGGUGAAAUGUGUAGAGAUCGGGAGGAACACCGGUGGCGAAGGCGGGUCUCUGGGCAAUUCCUGACGCUGAGGCGCGAAAGCGUGGGGAGCAAACGGG
rnacentral:rRNA from 1 species